rnacentral:rRNA from 1 species
CGCGUAGGCGGCUCGCCAAGUCGGGGGUGAAAUCUUUCGGCUUAACCGGAAAAGUGCCUUCGAUACUGGCGGGCUUGAGCGAGGUAGGGGCAUGUGGAACUUCCGGUGGAGCGGUGAAAUGCGUUGAUAUCGGAAGGAACGCCGGUGGCGAAAGCGACGUGCUGGACCUCUUCUGACGCUGAGGCGCGAAAGCUAGGGUAGCGAACG